AAUCAACGCUGGCGGCGUGCCUCAGACAUGCAAGUCGAACGCGAAAGGCCCCUUCGGGGGCCCGGUAGAGUGGCGCACGGGUGAGUAACACGUAGGUAAUUUGCCUUCGGGUGGGGAAUAACAGCCGGAAACGGCUGCUAAUACCGCAUAAUGCAGCGGCUCGACAUCGAGACAGUUGUUAAAGCGGGGGAUCGCAAGACCUCGCGCCUGAAGAGAAGCCUGCGGCAGAUAGCUUGUUGGUGAGGUAAUGGCUCACCAAGGCGACGAUCUGUAACCGGCCUGAGAGGGCGGUCGGUCACACUGACACUGACAUACGGGUCAGACUCCUACGGGAGGCAGCAGUCGGGAAUUUUGGGCAAUGGGCGAAAGCCUGACCCAGCAACGCCGCGUGAAGG
rnacentral:rRNA from 1 species